CGAGAGCGUUACUUCUUAGUCUGGCGUCACUUCCUGCUCGCGCGGUGAAAGUUCAGGUGUCAAUUAAAGGUGGUCUCACGCGCAAUCUACAACGGUCGAUUAGAAAACAAAUUGUAAAACUGUCGUAAAACUUGUCGAAAACUAAAAGAAAGUAAGAUCAAUAGAAAAAGGCACAAAGAAAAACAUAAAAUGACGAUGUUUUCUUCACUAUCAGUGUCGACUUGAGGGCAUGCUAAACAGAAACAUGACACCAUUAAACAGCUCCUGCUACUUGGACUCACUAGUAUCUGCUGAGCGUCCGGUCAUUGUUCCCAGGAAUCAUUCUUCCCUCAGGAUCAGAGCGGCAUGCAGCACGAGCAGGCAGCUCAGCAUACCACACAUGCUGCAAGAUCAAAG
ensembl:lncRNA